ACGACCUACGGGUGAAAGGGGGCGCAAGCUCUUGCUAUUAGAUGAGCCUAAAUCAGAUUAGCUAGUUGGUGGGGUAAAGGCCCACCAAGGCGACGAUCUGUAACUGGUCUGAGAGGAUGAUCAGUCACACCGGAACUGAGACACGGUCCGGACUCCUACGGGAGGCAGCAGUGGGGAAUAUUGGACAAUGGGGGCAACCCUGAUCCAGCCAUGCCGCGUGUGUGAAGAAGGCCUUUUGGUUGUAAAGCACUUUAAGCAGGGAGGAGAGGCUAAUGGUUAAUACCCAUUAGAUUAGACGUUACCUGCAGAAUAAGCACCGGCUAACUCUGUGCCAGCAGCCGCGGUAAUACAGAGGGUGCGAGCGUUAAUCGGAAUUACUGGGCGUAAAGCGAGUGUAGGUGGCUCAUUAAGUCACAUGUGAAAUCCCCGGGCUUAACCUGGGAACUGCAUGUGAUACUGGUGGUGCUAGAAUAUGUGAGAGGGAAGUAGAAUUCCAGGUGUAGCGGUGAAAUGCGUAGAGAUCUGGAGGAAUACCGAUGGCGAAGGCAGCUUCCUGGCAUAAUAUUGACACUGAGAUUCGAAAGCGUGGGUAGCAAACAGGAUUAGAUACCCUGGUAGUCCACGCCGUAAACGAUGUCUACUAGCCGUUGGGGUCCUUGAGACUUUAGUGGCGCAGUUAACGCGAUAAGUAGACCGCCUGGGGGAGUACGGCCGCAAGGUUAAAACUCAAAUGAAUUGACGGGGGCCCGCACAAGCGGUGGAGCAUGUGGUUUAAUUCGAUGCAACGCGAAGAACCUUACCUGGUCUUGACAUAGUGAGAAUCCUGCAGAGAUGCGGGGAGUGCCUUUCGGGAACUCACAUACAGGUGCUGCAUGGCUGUCGUCAGCUCGUGUCGUGAGAUGUUGGGUUAAGUCCCGCAACGAGCGCAACCCUUUUCCUUAUUUGCCAGCGGGUUAAGCCGGGAACUUUAAGGAUACUGCCAGUGACAAACUGGAGGAAGGCGGGGACGACGUCAAGUCAUCAUGGCCCUUACGACCAGGGCUACACACGUGCUACAAUGGUAGGUACAGAGGGUUGCUACACAGCGAUGUGAUGCUAAUCUCAAAAAGCCUAUCGUAGUCCGGAUUGGAGUCUGCAACUCGACUCC
rnacentral:rRNA from 1 species